AUACUUACCUGGCAGUGGAGAUACCAUGAUUACAAGAUGGUUUCCCAGGGCAAAGCUUAUCCAUUGCACUUCUGUGAUUUCCCUGUGAUUUCCCCAAAUGUGGGAAACUUGACGGCAUAAUUUGUAACAGUGAAGGGUUGCAUUCUCACUCUCCCCUG